GUGAUAUGAGAGGAAGAAUAAGAGAGACAAGCAAUCACAAACACCAAGUUUUAUAGUGGUUCGGAGCUAACCCUUGCUCCUACGUCCACUCCCCAAGUCUCACUUGGGAAUUCACUAUAACCCCCUUGGAUUACAGCCGGUUGUUUUCCAAGCUCACAACCAAACUUGUUAUUUUACGAGCUCACAACGAACUCGGUCGGUUUUCCCAGGCUCACCGACUAGAACCACCCCGAUUGUUUUUCCGGGAUCACAAUCGAACCCUUACACAUGUUGGUUUUACACUCGGCUCACCA
rnacentral:lncRNA from 1 species